GAUGAACGCUGGCGGCGUGCCUAAUACAUGCAAGUCGUACGGAAAGGCCCUUCGGGGUACUCGAGUGGCGGACGGCUGAGUAACGCGUGGGAACGUGCCCCAAAGUGAGGGAUAACGAACCGAAAGGUGUGCUAAUACCGCAUAUGGUCUUCGGAUUAAAGCUUCGGCGCUUUGGGAAGCGGCCCGCGUACGAUUAGAUAGUUGGUGAGGUAAUGGCUCACCAAGUCGACGAUCGUUAGCUGGUCUGAGAGGAUGAUCAGCCAGACUGGGACUGAGACACGGCCCAGACUCCUACGGGAGGCAGCAGUAAGGAAUCUUCCACAAUGGGGGCAACCCUGAUGGAGCAACGCCGCGUGCAGGAUGAAGGUUUUCGGAUCGUAAACUGCUUUUAUAAGUGAAGAAUAUGACGGUAACUUAUGAAUAAGGAUCGGCUAACUACGUGCCAGCCGCCGCCGUAA
rnacentral:rRNA from 1 species